rnacentral:tRNA from 1 species
GGACGGUUAGCUCAGUUGGUUAGAGCGCUGCGCUCACAUCGCAGAGGUCGUAGGUUCAAAUCCUACAUCGUCCACCA